GGCAUCUAUAUACAAAAUAUGAAGCAUCCAGGUCUUCCACCUUCUAAAAUAUAUAGCUUUUAAGAAGUGAGCUAACACCGCCGCCGCCGCCGCAGCGCCGUAGCCGUCGCGCCGGAUCACUAUCCCUAUGUCGAGCUUUCUGCAACAAAAGUUGCAGGCUCGACAAAAACUAGAAGGCCUGCUUCAUAUUCGGAUCUUUAUAUUAACACAGACAUAGAUGGACUACGUCAAACUAGCAUACGGAUUUCUGACAAACGUGACGAUAACAACUUUAAAAAUCUCAUCUUACCAUUCUUCAGAAGUAACAUUCCGUCGGGCCCAUCGUAUGCCGUUUUAGUUAGAAAGUACCAUCAGAGGUAGAAGUUUUGAAGUCUUCUUCACACAAUUAUUAAUUUAAAAAUCAAUGCUAAACUUUAAAACGUUUUUGUUCCGUCGAACCUUUUUUUCUCUCUCGAAAAUUUAAUAUAAAAACAAAUAUCUAUUUUUACCUUCAUUUUAGUUAAAUUUGG
rnacentral:lncRNA from 1 species